CAAUAGCGUAUAUUAAAGUUGUUGCAGUUAAAAAGCUCGUAGUUGGACCUUGGACCUGGACAGGCGGUCCGCCUCACGGCGAGUACUGUCUUGCUGGGUCUUUCCUCUUGGUGAUCUGUUGUUUCGGCAGCAGGGAACCAGGACCUUUACUUUGAAAAAAUUAGAGUGUUCAAAGCAGGCUCGACGCCGGAAUAUAUUAGCAUGGAAUAAUAAAAUAGGACGUGCGGUUCUAUUUUGUUGGUUUUUGGAGUCGCCGUAAUGAUUAAUAGGGACAGUCGGGGGCAUUAGUACUCACAUGCUAGAGGUGAAAUUCUUGGAUUUUGUGAAGACUAACUUCUGCGAAAGCAUUUGCCAAGGAUGUUUUCAUUAA
rnacentral:rRNA from 1 species